rnacentral:lncRNA from 1 species
CCCAAACAACAUGAUACACUACGACAAACCAUCCACUGAGUACUAUGUAGGAGGACUUUAAGCAUCCUUAGGCGGCGAAGAUGAAGGUUUCACUGAUCCAGCCUCAUCCUGUGGUUUAUUUGUGCCUUCUGCGACGAUAGUACUUAGUGGACCUGAAACCCCUAGGACUGGCGUGGAGCAUAACAACCUCCAAAAGGAUAUUCCUGACCCGCCGCAACAGCAUCUUCAUGACAUCUUUGCCAAUAAUGAAGCAUUGUUUUCUCCCACGUACUCAUUUUCUUUGGCUUAUCAUGAGGGCCAACUGUGGUUUUCCCCUUGCUGCGAGAGGAACAACGAUCGCCCUCACCAUCACCACUACCCCCAGCAGCAAUAGCCAUCUCUAUGUACCAUAAUUUAUUUAGCUCAUAUUUGCAAAUGACUAAACUAUGAACAAAUUAUAUUUUC